rnacentral:rRNA from 1 species
AUGAGAAUAAGCUUAGCGGACAUGGCGUCGUGGUGCUUCGCUCUGUCGGCGCUGGCGGCCCUGCUGCUGGUGUGCUCGCUCGGGGAGGCGGAGGUGGUCACUGUGCGUGGCGCGUCGCUGGCGGCGCGGUGGCGGCCGUGCGAGGAGAUCUACGUGGUGGCGGAGGGCGAGACGCUGCACGGCAUCAGCGACCGGUGCGGCGACCCCUACAUCCUGGAGCGCAACCCGCACGUCCACGACCCCGACGACGUCUUCCCCGGCCUAGUCCUCAGGAUCACGCCCUUCAGCCCGAGGCCGUCCGUCCCCGUUAGCCCCCCGUAG